GAUUGGAAGAAUUAGACUCACCUCCCUGAUUCUACAUAGAUCAGAGAAAUACAUUUCAACAGUUCUGGAAAGAUGUCAAGAAAGCAGAUUUUAGCUUAACAAAAGGAAAAACUAACUGGAGAAGCCCUUGAUGACCAUGGAGUUUCAGGUAAAUUCCUGCUUUGUCCUUGGGCAAUUAGCUGAGGCUUGAUGGCUGCAGACAGACUUUAUACUCUUGCUUC
rnacentral:lncRNA from 1 species